UCAACUACAAUUGUACCUGAUGGUAGACCUUACAGGACCUUAAGGUUUUGGCACUAUCGCUUAAAGUAAAGGUGUUGUCUAUUAACUAAAUAUGGCCUGCUUUGGGCGUUAUGUCUCUAACUUUGUAACCAUAUUUCUUGCCAUUUUGGUCAUAAGACCUUAUUUUUUCCUUCCUAAGAAGCGGAUACUGUUCAUUCAUCUGGUGUGGUAGCCUGUGUAAAGAAAAUUACAAACACAAAGAUUUCUUCCAAGAUAGAACAGAGAGCGAUAAUUUGUUGUCAAUACGUCUGUGCGUCGGAUUUGUCUAAUCCAUCACAAGGAGCGGUUCCUUCGCAAUUCCCGGAAUUUGAGAUAAAAAGGAUACAUUAUGGAACAAUGUGGUUAACGGGAAAGGUUGGGAAGAUCGAUCGGUGUGCGGUUACUCUCGCUUAUGUAAAAAUAAAACAAUCAAUGGAACACAACGAAUUUAUCGUCAUAUGUUGCUGAAGGUGGGUAACGAGUGUUCAGGAGUUGGUUCAAAGUUAUAGAUAAAUAUGAAAUGAUUUUAAAUGCAGGAAAAAUCUCCAGUUCAUAACUUCAAUAUCAAACAGGAUGAGGUGUAUUUUUUGGAAUAUUUUAUUUGAACUCUUGAA